rfam:Magnaporthe poae ATCC 64411 unplaced genomic scaffold supercont1.3, whole genome shotgun sequence.
GGUCAGAUGGCCGAGUUGGUUAUGGCGUAGGAUUAAGGUUACAAUAACAGUCUUCCUAUGGAGCAAUCCGCGUGGGUUCGAGUCCCACUCUGAUCA